CGAAUUUAGUGACCUUCCAUGUUGAUCUUUUAUGACUAGACCUGACUCGAUUUUCGAACGGUUCUCCCUAGCGCGUAUCGAGACCUGUUUAUUUGAUCGUGAACGAGAUAUAUAACUUUUAUCAUUAAAUAAAUAAGUAAAUAAAUAUAUAUAUAUAUAGAGAGAGAGAGCCACUAAUACGAAUCGAAUUGUCAUUAAUGUUCAAAAGACAUCAAAUAUUAUUGAAACGAUGCAAAUCACGGCAUUGUACCAAACUUGUCAAACAAUCGGAUUACGUUCAGCUGUGCGAUUAGUAAUUAAAACGUCUGCGUCAUCAGACGAAUACUAUUUAUGAAUAUGAAUCUAUGCAUCUUUCCAAAUAUAGGGAACGUGUAAUUUAGAAUUUUAAUUUAUGUACGUAUUAUAAAUCGUAAACGAUUGAUCAUUUUCACAAUGAUAUUUUUAACUUCAUUUCGGUCGAUACUAUGUAAUACUUGAAAGAUUCUCGAUUAAAUUUUUUUCUCCUUCCCGUGAAAAUCAAACCAAAACUGAAUUUGUAUUUCGUUUAUGAAAUUAGAAAAAAUGUCCUUCUAUUUAAGUAACAUAAAAUGGUAAGUAAUAAAAUGUACAAUUUUAUAUGCUGAAAAUUUUAACAAAAAUAGUAGGAAUAACGUAGUUACAUAAAUAGCGAUUUAUUUAAGUAAUUUCAUGUAGAUGAUAAUUAUAUGUGUAAAUGAAAGUAAUAUUAUUAUAAAUAAUUAUAUUACACUAAACUCACAUUAGUUACAAUUAUCAAUCGUUUAGAAAUAGUGCUUUUUAUUAUUAAUAAUAUUUUAAUUUAUAUUUAAUUUCAUAAUAAGAAAUAACAAAGCAAUGUUAAUAAAGCGAUAUAAACAACAAUGAUAUUUAUUUAUCUAAACAUGAUAGCAAAAUCGAUAACGAAUAAUGGCCAGAAGAGUACAUUAAUUUUAUAGUCACUAAAACUCUGAAGAUCUUUUUAUUAUUAGAGAAAAAGAAGAAUUCUAAUUUCUUCAAUUGGGACUCGAAAAUUCAGUUUCUCCGAUAACAUUUUUCCAAUUAUUGAAUAUAACAAGGAAUGUUCCAUAUUUUCUAAAAUUUUAAAUCGAUAAAAAUCACGAAUGAAAAUGAAAGUUUUUUAUUAAUUACUAAUUAACAUUUCAUUUUCUCUAAUCAUAAUUUUGUCGUUAUUAAGAGAUUAAAAUUUCUUUAAUCAGUCAAAACUGCAGUU